UACUAAUGCACUUUAUUUCAUAUAACAAUCAAAUACAUGUUUAUUUGUGAUAAAGGUUUAUCUAAUAUUAUAAUUUAGUUUCCUGGUAAGUACGAUAACUUGGGAAGGUUUCAGUUUUCUUUUCUUAUGUCAUCGAAAUUGUAAAAAUCAUCACACUCAGCAAGUCUGGUUACUCCAUCCUUAAUUAGACAGUUUCAGUUGACAAAC